UUUCACCCAGGGCAGCGCAGACUUAACGUGCGUAGGGUUAUAGACAAAAAACAGAUCCACCGACUUGCUCUACUUCGUUUGUACCAACAUAAAUGUGGUUCAAUUUUUAGGUUAAGUAUAGUGACACAGCUGGUUUAGCGCAGCCAAAGGUUGUGUGUUGUGUACAGCGAAAUAAUGAUCGUGAUGACCAGUCUGUACGUGUACACGUGAAGCCAAUAUAUUCUGGCAACAUAGCUGUUUUCAGACAUUGAACUGCGGGGCAACGUUGCUGAUAAGUUUCGGGAAAAUACAUAAUUAUCCGGUGCUUCAUAGGACGUUAGAGUGUGGGCGACUCCGGUAUGGCUACCCUUGAAGAUGUACAGGCGAAGAACCAGUCUGCCCAUGUCCUGCCGCCCACGGAAGUUAUUCAAGCUCCCCGAACAUUCGGGGGCCGUGUUCUCCUAAUCUACGUCGUUACGUUUUUGUACAUAUUUUCCUCUGCAGUUCAGAGUUCUCUUAGUGUACAGUUUAUAUUUUACCUGGUGGAAUCUGAUCACAAUGAUUCAAGCGUUUCCAACAUUUCUGUUUGUGAAACUGAUGAAAAUAGCAGUCGGUACAAUGACCUAGAACAUGUUGAGGAGAAAGCGGCAGAAAUACAGAUAUUCCUGUCAGUGGCCACAGGGGUACCUUCCGUGAUCAUGUGUCUUGUAUUCGGUUCCCUCUCCGAUCGUAUGGGCAGGCGAUUUCUCUUCGCUUUGCCUGUUUGUGGCAUUAUGAUUCGCGCAGCGGCCUAUGCUGUAGUUAGCCACUGGACUCUCUCGUUAUAUUAUCUGUUAAUUGGGCAUCUACUUGAAGGGUUUAGUGGUGGGUUUUCUUGCUUUCUGUUGGGCGCUUUUGCUGGUUCCUCUGACAUUACAUCAGAGGGCAGACGUCGAUCCUUCUUAAUAGCCAUUAUCGAAGCCUCGGCCAUACUUUCUGCCGGUGUCGGCAGCCUCGUUUUGGGCUAUAUGAUCCAGGGUUGUGGUUACACGUAUCCGAAUUUACUAGUCAUUGCCAUAUCUGUGAUAAAUUUUGUAACCAUUAAAAUGGCGUUACCCGAGACUAAACCAGAGACACCGAAAGAGAAGCUAAGGUUUACUGCCUUUGCAUCAGCUGUGAAGAGAGUCUUUCGCAUCUAUUUCGUUAAAGAUAAAGGCUUAAUCCGCUGUAAGCUAAUACUGUGUUGGACAGCAUUCUUUAUAACGUCGAUUACCUAUAUAGGCUCCAUUGGUGUAGAAACCCUGUACGUGAAGAAUCGCCCACUUUGUUGGGAUUCCAUAAAAAUAGGCUACUUUGGCAGUAUCAAAUCUGUGUGUUCGGCUCUGGCGGCCACAUUUGUAAUUCGACUAAUGCAGUGCUGUCUGGGAGACAUUGGGAUCGCAGUAACCUGUGGUUUGGCCAAAAUAGCCUCCUUUGUUCUUCAAGGGUUUGCUGACACGGACCUUAAAAUGUAUGCAGUUGCCGUUGUCGGGAUGCCAGGGAUAGGGCUGAUGGCCAUGACCAGAUCUAUUAUGUCUAAGUCUACGGCUCCAGAGAACAUCGUCAUCAAAAGCAUAUGUCAAACUUCAGAACUUGAGUUGGUCUAUCAACAGGCAGUAUGUUCGCAAGCGUCGCCUGUGCAGAGGCAGCCACAACGAUAACGGGCGGGGUCCUGUUCAACGCAAUCUACAAAUCAACGAUCCACGAAGAACAUGGGAUCGUCUUCUUCGUUAUGGCGGCAAUACUUGGUGUGGUUCUCUUUAUUUACGGGGGGAUCUACUGGGUGACCCGUGUCAGCAGUUUACCAGCCAAAGCGAUUUUACGUGCCGAUGAAACUACAGCACUGCUGCCAAACGAGAAAAGCAUGACAACCAAAUAAAAUUUCAUAUUUGUUUGCAUGCAUACAAUUAAUUAUGUCAGGCCAAAACUAUAGCAGUUUUUGAAACUACAUACAUGUUAAUUUCGAGGUCGUCGAAAGAAUGGAGACGACAGUGUUUUUUUCUAUACAUUCCCGCAAAUCGGGGAUGCAAUCAUACACUUUUAUAAAUGAACAUGGAUCGUAACAGCGAUUUCCUAAUGUACCUAUUCCAUAAGAUCUGAGACCCUCAUAUUUUGUAUAUAGAUCUGCAACUUCUUGAGCAAAAUCUCGCUUUGAACAUUGCGUAUAUUUAACUGCUAAUUAUGACAUAUUUAUUACCUUUUUGGUGCUUUUAAAUAAUUUUUUAAAUUUUGUUGGGUUACUUUAUUUAUUUAUACUUUAAUGUACGAUUUUCCUGUGUUUGGAGAAAGAAGAG